rnacentral:tRNA from 1 species
GAGACACUAGUAUAAUUGACCAAUACACUACCUUGUCAAGGCAGAAUCGUGGGUUUGACUCCCACGUGUUUUA